GUUGCCCCUUCCUUCUCUGCAGAUCUCAGUGGUGCAGCUUCCUGCCUGGGACAUGUCCUGAUCACACUGGAGGCAUAGAGGAAAGUUGGUAGCUGAGGGAAUCUAGGCUCUGUGCUAGAUGCUGAGGAUAUGGCUAAGACUGGUGCCGUCCCUGUCAACACAGACCUUGGAGGUUGGUAGAGAUAGACAAGAGCCCAGGUGAACCUACCCUUGGAGGGAAUGAAAACGAGCCUGUAAUGGCUAUUCCUAGUUGUCAACUUGACUAUGUGUGGAAUAAACUAUAAUCCAGAAUUGGAAGGCUCACCUGUGAUCCAGAUCUUGACGCUGGGAGACACAAGUUGAGGUAAAUCUUCAACCCAAAA